AACUUUCAGCAAUGGAUCACUUGGCUCUCGCAUCGAUGAAGAACGCAGCGAAAAGCGAUAAGUAAUGUGAAUUGCAGAAUUCAGUGAAUCAUCGAAUCUUUGAACGCACCUUGCACCCUUUGGAAUUCCAAAGGGUAUGCUCGUUUGAGUGUCAUUGUACUCUCACACUCUCCGAUCCUCUGGAUUUGGGGAGCGGUGGACUUGGGUGCUUGCUGCUUUCCUUGCGGCUCACCUCAAAUGCGUCAGUGCAUCUCUUGAUUGGACAUAGUACGGCGUGAUAAGUGUCUUCGCCGGCACCUCAUAAGAGGGUGGCUGAUCGGGAGCUCUGUGCUUUCAAACCGUCUUCGGACACUCUCUGACAACUUGACCUCAAAUCAGGUAGGACUACCCGCUGAACUUAAGCAUAUCAAUAAGCGGAGGCU
rnacentral:misc_RNA from 1 species